UACGGGGGGAGCAAGCGUUGUUCGGAUUUACUGGGCGUAAAGGGCGCGUAGGCGGCCACCGCAAGUCGAUUGUGAAAUCUCCGGGCUUAACCCGGAAAGGUCAACCGAUACUGCGGGGCUAGAGUGCAGAAGGGGCAACUGGAAUUCUUGGUGUAGCGGUGAAAUGCGUAGAUAUCAAGAGGAACACCUGCGGCGAAGGCGGGUUGCUGGGCUGACACUGACGCUGAGGCGCGAAAGCGUGGGGAGCAAACAGG
rnacentral:rRNA from 1 species